CCAGGCCUAACCCCUCGGUCUGGCAAACUCCAUGCGCGCAGGUCCGGCUUGUUCGGGCCCAUCUCACAAUCUCCGAGAUGUCCCUGGCGCU
rfam:Prochlorococcus marinus MIT9313 complete genome